rnacentral:rRNA from 1 species
AACGAACGCUGGCGGCGUGGAUUAGGCAUGCAAGUCGAACGAGAAUCUGGAAGUUCAAGUUUUCGGACAAGAAUUUUCGGAGGACAGUGGCGGAAGGGUGAGUACAACAUGGGUAAUCUAUCUUCAAGUUGGGUAUAACUCCUCGAAAGGGGAGAUAAUCCCGAAUGUGGUGAUCCGACGCAUGUCGGAGGAUCUAAAGGCGGGGACCGCAAGGCCCGUCGCUUGAAGCCGAGCCCGUGCACUAUCAGCUAGUUGGCGGGGUAACGGCCCACCAAGGCUAUGACGGUUAGCUGGUCUGAGAGGAUGGUCAGCCACACUGGGACUGAGAUACCGCCACGACUCCUA